AACCUCCCUGUGAGGAGGAGUCAAUGCAAAACUGAGAUGUCUUCCACCUCUACUUAUCUGACUGCAGAGAGGAUGACAGAGAACAGUGGACACACAGUUUAACAUGAUGGACUAUAGGACAGGACUGCUGCUUUUAACUCUAUGCUUAGCAGGUGUUGAUGGUCAGACUCUGACAGAAUCUGAACCAGUAGUUAAAAGACCUGGAGAAUCCCACACACUGACCUGUACAGCCUCUGGAUUCACAUUCAGCAGCUACGGUAUGGCCUGGAUCAGACAGGCUCCUGGAAAAAGACUGGAGUGGAUUGCUUACAUAAGCACAGAUAGUUCUCCUAUCUAUUACUCCCAGUCAGUCCAGGGUAGAUUCACCAUCUCCAGAGAUGACUCCAGCAGUAAACUCUAUCUACAGAAGAACAGUUUGAAGACUGAGGACACAGCAGUGUAUUACUGUGCCAGAAAACACACAGUCAGAGACAGUAAUAAGAGAGUCAUACAAAAACUACUUCCUCCAUUUACCCUCACCACUGGGAACAUUCUGUUGUCUCAGUAUCACUUAUCUUGAAUCACUUUUAUUAUCAAACAGGUUCCUUUGAUUCCUAUUCUCCAUCAUCCCAUUGGUGUAAAAAGCUAUGUAUAUAAGUAAAACUGAUCAAAGCAAAUUGAGAUUUGUAAAGAAUCAACACUUUUUUGGGGGGUACGCUGUGAAAUUAGUGAUCAACAUUAAACAAUUCAAUUCAGAUAAA